rnacentral:rRNA from 1 species
UACGGAAGGCAGCAGUGGGGAAUAUUGCACAAUGGGCGCAAGCCUGAUGCAGCCAUGCCGCGUGUAUGAAAAAGGCCUUCGGGUUGUAAAGUACUUUCAGUCGUGAGGAAGGUGUUAAGGUUAAUAACCUUAGCAAUUGACGUUAGCGACAGAAGAAGCACCGGCUAACUCCGUGCCAGCAGCCGCGGUAAUACGGAGGGUGCGAGCGUUAAUCGGAAUUACUGGGCGUAAAGGGCACGCAGGCGGUUAAUUAAGUUGGAUGUGAAAUCCCCGGGCUUAACCUGGGAAUGGCAUUCAAGACUGGUUAGCUAGAGUCUUGUAGAGGGGGUAGAAUUCCAUGUGUAGCGGUGAAAUGCGUAGAGAUGUGGAGGAAUACCGGUGGCGAAGGCGGCCCCUGGGACAAAGACUGACGCUCAUGUGCGAAAGCGUGGGGAGCAAACG